rnacentral:lncRNA from 1 species
UUUUUUAUUUUGGUAUACUGAGAAGGAAACUAAAGCAUAGAGAAGUGAAGUGACUUGGCUAAGACCUCAUAGUUGGAAGGUAUAUAGGACUCAAACCCAGGUCUCUGGAUUCCAAGUCCAGCCAUCUGCACGCAUCCUAUAUCUGCGGUGAGUGAGGAGCUCUGAUCUGUAGAAGUCAGCUGCUUUCCAUCCCAGAGAUGGCAAAGCUGCCCUCUCCUGAGCACCACAGGAUCUGCAGAAUCUCUCCUGUGUUUCAGGCUGCAUGGUGCAUUCAUUCUAAGCUGGCAACCCGACCCUCCUGCUUCCUGAACAGAACCUUACCUGGGCCAUCAGGGCAGCCAUCUCAAGAGCCAAUUCCUUGUUGAUAGGAAACCUCCCUGCCACUAUCUCUCUACUGGUUUGAGAGGCAAGGAGCAGCCGUUCUCGGUCCGUCUCCCCUUUGACUUGACUGCGAAAGUACAGCCUACAAAGAAGAGAAUAAGAAACCAGGACUCAGCAGGGAUUCCAAACAGGGAUGGGGCUUUCUCUGGGUCUGUUACCUUUAUUUCCAAAAAGAUAAAGUACUCUUUUCCCACUAUUUAUGAGCCUAUUUUGUAUUGCCUCCAGAAACAUAUAACCGAGUAUGACACAGAGCAGAUGCAGGGUCAUGCUGAUCUCAUACCAACAGGAGGGCAUGGUUCAUUCUGAAGAUACCAUUAAGCUUACUGGAUUUAGUAAGGGAAAUCUGGUACCUGGAGUUAUAGAUUAGGGGACUGGAUGAGGUAAGAGUCCAAGAGACUACUGGAAACUAUUUGCCUGGAGACAUACUGAGAUGGAGGGAUGGGAUUUUCUUACUCAAAUUGAUAGAAAGUCAGGAUGUCUACUUCUGUAUUUCCUGGAAUUGGUAUAGGAAGUACUUAGUCUUUAGCUAUAACUAGCUGGUGCUUAUACAAAAUUUCACUCUCAUAAAGUAACACACUUAGCCAUCCCAUGAGGUUGGUCUAUUUUCUAUUCUUUUCUUUUUUUUGAGGCAGGGUCUCACUCUGUUGCCCAGGCUGGAGUGCAGUGGCGUGAUCUCAGCUCACUGCAGCCUCAACCUCCCAGGUUUAAGUGAUCCUCCCACCUCAGCCCCCCUGAGUAGCUGGGACUACAGGUACAUGCCACCAUGCCCAGCUAAUUUUUGCAUUUUUUGUAGAGGUGGGAGAAUUGCUUGAGCCCGGGAAGUUGAGGCUGCAUGAGCUGAGAUUGUGCCACUGCACUCCAGCCUGGGCAACAGAGCAAGACUCUGUCUC